UACGAAGGGGGCUAGCGUUGCUCGGAAUCACUGGGCGUAAAGCGCACGUAGGCGGCUUCUUAAGUCAGGGGUGAAAUCCUGGAGCUCAACUCCAGAACUGCCCUUGAUACUGAGGAGCUUGAGUCCGGGAGAGGUGAGUGGAACUGCGAGUGUAGAGGUGAAAUUCGUAGAUAUUCGCAAGAACACCAGUGGCGAAGGCGGCUCACUGGCCCGGUACUGACGCUGAGGUGCGAAAGCGUGGGUAGCAAACAGG
rnacentral:rRNA from 1 species